UACGGGGGGAGCAAGCGUUGUUCGGAUUUACUGGGCGUAAAGGGCGCGUAGGCGGUCAGCACAAGUCAGUUGUGAAAUCUCCGGGCUUAACUCGGAAAGGUCAACUGAUACUGUGCGACUAGAGUGCGGAAGGGGCAACUGGAAUUCUCGGUGUAGCGGUGAAAUGCGUAGAUAUCGAGAGGAACACCUGCGGCGAAGGCGGGUUGCUGGGCUGACACUGACGCUGAGGCGCUAAAGCUAGGGGAGCGAACGGG
rnacentral:rRNA from 1 species